rnacentral:rRNA from 1 species
GACGAACGCUGGCGGCGUGCUUAACACAUGCAAGUCGAACGGGAUGAUCUUAAAGCUUGCUUUUAGAGAAUCUAGUGGCAAACGGGUGAGUAACACGUAGACAACCUGCCGACAGGAUGGGGACAACAUUCCGAAAGGAAUGCUAAUACCGAAUGAAGUCAGAGGAGGGCAUCCUCCUCUGAUGAAAGAUGGCCUCUUUUUAUGCUAUCACCUGUUGAUGGUCUGCGUCUGAUUAGCUAGUUGGUGAGGUAACGGCUCACCAAGGCGACGAUCAGUAGCCGGUCUGAGAGGAUGAACGGCCACAUUGGGACUGAGACACGGCCCAGACUCCUACGGGAGGCAGCAGUGGGGAAUCUUCCGCAAUGGGCGCAAGUCUGACGGAGCAACGCCGCGUGAGUGAAGAAGGUCUUCGGAUCGUAAAGCUCUGUUGACGGGGACGAACGUGCGGAGUGCGAACAGCGCUUUGUAAUGACG